AAUGAACGCUGGCGGCGGGCCUAACACAUGCAAGUCGAACGAGUGGCGGACGGGUGAGUAAUGGCUGGUAAACUGCGCGAUGGCUGGGGAUAACUAGUGGAAAAGGUAGCUAAUCCCGCAUACCAUCGGAUGUGCGAAGAUGGUGUUAGCUAGUGGGGGGGUUAACGGCUCACAUAGGCGACGAUCCCUAGCUGGUCUGAGAGGAUGACCAGCCACACUGGAACUGAGACACGGUCCAGACUCCUACGGGAGGCAGCAGUGGGGAAUAUUGCACAAUGGGCGCAAGUCUGAGGGAGCCAUGCCGCGUGGAUGAAGAAGGCUUUCGGGUUGUAAAGUACUUUCAGCGAGGAGGCGUUACUCGCAGAAGAAGCACCGGCUAACUCCGUGCCAGCAGCCGCGGUAAUUC
rnacentral:rRNA from 1 species